GGGAUCUGGACUGCAGCCUGGAGGCGGCGGCUGAGCUGAGGGCGGUGUGCGGCCUUGAUAAACUGAAAUGCCUUGAGGACGGUGAGGAUCCAGAAGUCAUUCCGGAGAAUACUGACCUGGUGACUUUGGGGGUUAGAAAAAGGUUCUUGGAACAUCGGGAAGAAACCAUUACAAUAGAUCGAGCCUGCAGACAAGAAACAUUCGUUUAUGAGAUGGUAAUUAAGAGUCUCAUCUUUUUCACCCUUUUCUCUUAAAACAGUAAACCGACAUUGGCUGAGGGUUAGUAAUGACAGUAUGGUAGCUUUAUACUGGAUAUGCUUAGUUGAAAACAAACUAGAGAAACUCCUUUGAGUCUGGGAACUAGUGAGAGAAGAGGACCCUUAGAACUCAAGUGACCACAUAU
rnacentral:sRNA from 1 species